GAUGAAGAACGUAGCGAAAUGCGAUACGUAAUGUGAAUUGCAGAAUUCAGUGAAUCAUCGAGUCUUUGAACGCACAUUGCGCCCCCUGGUAUUCCGGGGGGCAUGCCUGUCCGAGCGUCAUUGCUGCCCUCAAGCACGGCUUGUGUGUUGGGCCUCCGUCCUCCUCCCGGGGGACGGGCCCAAAAGGCAGCGGCGGCACCGCGUCCGGUCCUCGAGCGUAUGGGGCUUCGUCACCCGCUCUUGUAGGCCCGGCCGGCGCUUGCCGACACAUCAAUCUUUUUUCCAGGUUGACCUCGGAUCAGGUAGGGAUACCCGCUGAACUUAAGCAUAUCAAUAAGCGGAGGA
rnacentral:misc_RNA from 1 species